rnacentral:rRNA from 1 species
CAGUCGCCGCGGUAAUACGUAGGGUGCAAGCGUUAAUCGGAAUUACUGGGCGUAAAGCGUGCGCAGGCGGUUUUGUAAGACAGAGGUGAAAUCCCCGGGCUCAACCUGGGAACUGCCUUUGUGACUGCAAGGCUAGAGUACGGCAGAGGGGGAUGGAAUUCCGCGUGUAGCAGUGAAAUGCGUAGAUAUGCGGAGGAACACCGAUGGCGAAGGCAAUCCCCUGGGCCUGUACUGACGCUCAUGCACGAAAGCGUGGGGAGCAAACAGGAUUAGAUACCCCUGUAGUCCCUGUCUCUUAACA